rnacentral:rRNA from 1 species
AGUGAGAGGGAAGAAGCCCAAGAUUGAAAGCUGGCGUCUUCGGCGUCCGCAUUGUAAUCUCAAGAAGUGUUUUCCGCUUCGGACCAAGCCUAAGUCCCCUGGAAAGGGGCAUCAUAGAGGGUGAUAAUCCCGUACAUGGCUUGGAGCGCCCGAGGCUUUGUGAUACGCUUUCUAAGAGUCGAGUUGUUUGGGAAUGCAGCUCAAAAUGGGUGGUAAAUGCCAUCUAAGGCUAAAUAUUGGGGAGAGACCGAUAGCGAACAAGUACAGUGAUGGAAAGAUGAAAAGAACUUUGAAAAGAGAGUUAAACAGUACGUGAAAUUGCCAAAAGGGAAGGGUAGGAGGUCAGAGAUGCGGCCUGGGAUUCAGCCUUGCUUUUGCUUGGUGUUUUUCCCAGAUUGCAGGCCAACGUCGGUUUUGGGCACUGGAGAAGGGUAGGAGGAACGUGGCACCCCUCGGGGUGUGUUAUAGCCUCCUACUGGAUACAGCGACCGAGACCGAGGACAGCAGCGUACUCGCAAGAGCGGGCCUUCGGGCACCUUUACGCUUAGGGCGUUGGCAUAAUGGCCCUCUACCAC